UACAGAGGUCCCAAGCGUUGUUCGGAUUCACUGGGCGUAAAGGGUGCGUAGGUGGUGAGGUAAGUCGGAUGUGAAAUCUCUGAGCUCAACUCAGAAACUGCAUUGGAAACUACCUUGCUAGAGGAUUGGAGGGGGGACUGGAAUUCUCGGUGUAGCAGUGAAAUGCGUAGAGAUCGAGAGGAACACCAGUGGCGAAGGCGAGUCCCUGGACAAUUCCUGACGCUGAGGCACGAAAGCUAGGGGAGCAAACAGG
rnacentral:rRNA from 1 species